rnacentral:rRNA from 1 species
GAUGAACGCUGGCUACAGGCUUAACACAUGCAAGUCGUGGGGAAACGGCAUUAUGUGCUUGCACAUUCUGGACGUCGACCGGCGCACGGGUGAGUAUCGCGUAUCCAACCUGCCCCUUACUUGGGGAUACCCCGUCGAAAGACGGCCUAAUACCCGAUGUGUUUCAUUGACGGCAUCCGAUAUGAAACAAAGGUUUUCCGGUAAGGGAUGGGGAUGCGUCUGAUUAGCUUGUUGGCGGGGCAACGGCCCACCAAGGCGACGAUCAGUAGGGGUUCUGAGAGGAAGGUCCCCCACAUUGGAACUGAGACACGGUCCAAACUCCUACGGGAGGCAGCAGUGAGGAAUAUUGGUCAAUGGACGCAAGUCUGAACCAGCCAAGUAGCGUGCAGGAUGACGGCCCUAUGGGUUGUAAACUGCUUUUAUGUGGGAAUAAAGUGGCGCACGUGUGCGCCAUUGCAUGUACCUCA